rnacentral:rRNA from 1 species
GAUGAACGCUAGCGGCAGGCUUAACACAUGCAAGUCGAGGGGUAUAGUUCUUCGGAACUAGAGACCGGCGCACGGGUGCGUAACGCGUAUGCAAUCUACCUUUUGCAGAGGGAUAGCCCAGAGAAAUUUGGAUUAAUACCUCAUGGUAUGUGAGAAUGGCAUCAUUUUCACAUUAAAGUCACAACGGCAAAAGAUGAGCAUGCGUCCCAUUAGCUUGUUGGUAAGGUAACGGCUUACCAAGGCAACGAUGGGUAGGGGUCCUGAGAGGGAGAUCCCCCACACUGGGACUGAGACACGGACCAGACUCCUACGGGAGGCAGCAGUGAGGAAUAUUGGACAAUGGGCGCAAGCCUGAUCCAGUCAUGCCGCGUGCAGGAUGACGGUCCUAUGGAUUGUAAACUGCUUUUGUACGGGAAGAAACACUGGUUCGUGAACCAGCUUGACGGUACUGUAAGAAUAAGGAUCGGCUAACUCCGUGCCAGCAGCCGCGGUAAUAC